ACAUAUAUUGGCAUCCUGAUGGCUUGAGUUGGUCACUGCCAGCUCCUGAUCAGCAGCCAACUUUUCAAUUAAGAGGUGAGAGUGAUCUGUGCUGGUUUUGCUAUUUAUCUCAUCUCUGAGGAGCGACACAUUUUGCCUUUCUGAAAACAGCUCUGAAGACUCUGCAGUUCAAGUUAAUUUUGAUCACUGGCUGAUCUCCACCUCAUAUCUGAAAAGUUCACUGGGGUUCUCAGCACCAUCCAAAUGCUUGGAGUUGAAUGCUGGGUUAGAACAUGGAAAUGGAACAUGGAGGCUGUGGAGAAACCUCUGACAGCAGGACUACUUAUGAUGGAGAGGAAGACUUCUAUCCCAGCUGAAUGGAAUUCUUUGGAGAAAGCAGGAAACUGGCAGCCAGAAAUGUAAGGACAAUAAAACUGGUAGACCUCCUGAAAAGGUCAGCAGAGGCAUGGAAGAUUUGUUACCCACUUUUCUUUAGAUGAGAAAUAAUGCAUAGAGAUGAAAGGAGUGAGUGUUUCACAGAUGCUGUGUCAGAGCAAGAGCUUGGGAUCACCAUUCCAAAG